GUGCUCGCUUCGGCAGCACAUGUACUAAAACUGAACAAGACAGAGAAGAUUAACAUGACCCCUGCACAAGGAUGGCAUGCAAAUUUGUGGGAGUAUUCCAUGUUUUU
ensembl:snRNA U6 U6 spliceosomal RNA